rnacentral:rRNA from 1 species
AUUGAACGCUGGCGGAAUGCUUUACACAUGCAAGUCGAACGGCAGCACGAGGGCAACCUUGGUGGCGAGUGGCGAACGGGUGAGUAAUACAUCGGAACGUGCCCAGUCGUGGGGGAUAACGUAGCGAAAGCUACGCUAAUACCGCAUACGAUCUAUGGAUGAAAGCGGGGGACCGUAAGGCCUCGCGCGAUUGGAGCGGCCGAUGGCAGAUUAGGUAGUUGGUGGGGUAAAGGCUCACCAAGCCUGCGAUCUGUAGCUGGUCUGAGAGGACGACCAGCCACACUGGAACUGAGACACGGUCCAGACUCCUACGGGAGGCAGCAGUGGGGAAUUUUGGACAAUGGGCGCAAGCCUGAUCCAGCCAUUCCGCGUGCAGGAUGAAGGCCUCGGUUGUAACGUAGCUUUGUUACGGUAACG